rnacentral:lncRNA from 1 species
UCCAUUAUUAAUUUGGUUUCCCAGGGCUUCAGCUGUCGCUUGCAUUGCUGCUGCCAUAUUGCCUAAUGCAGCCAUGAAGUCUAUGGGAUUAGGAGUGUUUCCUGAUACCUCAGGCAUGGCAUUGCCUAUUCGGCCUCUACCUCGCCCGCGUCUGCGUCCGCGAGUAGACAUCUGGUCCCUAUACACACCAAACAGGUGAUAUCAAGUUGAUCAGUCUCAAUAUCGCAAGUUCAGUGCUUUAAGUCCCAAAUGCAUGCUCAGGAACGUUUAUGCCACAUAUAUCAGUUAGAUAUCCUAAUAGCACAUAAACACAUACACAGAGAAUGCACAAAAGCAUAAUCAGUCCGUCCUCAGGCUCUAUAGGAACGAACUGCUCUGAUACCAUAAUGUAACAUCCUACUACACAGUGUUUUACGCUUAAGUCGUAGAACAGAGGUAGUGUGGUAUAACAGACCUCUAAACAGUAAAGAUAUACAUAUAAUACUGAAAGAAAUAAUAUACUAGAAGCCUUGAAACAAAACGGGUAAACAAAAUCGCAAAAUAAAAAGCGCAACGCUCAAGGAAUAGGAUUACUUGCAUGCUAAGAAAUAUUCUAAAUCUGCCUAACUUACUCAAGUUCAAGCUUAACCUAACACCAAACCAUUUCCUCCGUUUCCUCCAUCCUUUCAUCAUUCAGAAUGUAACAGAAACAAGCAACCAAACAAGUUCACGUACAAGUAAUGAUCAAAUAGUACAAAUAGCAAGUAUAACAAAUAGCAGGUAAUAUAUAUCAAUUAGGCAUACCCAAAAAAAUGCAUAGCAAUCAAUACAAACAAAUGCAUAUGAUGCAUGCCUGUCCUAUGGCUGAUGGGGCCCAUCUGUCGGUUAUCCAGCCAACCCGACAAGUCCGAAAACCUUAGACUGUCCCCCGUCGCGCAUCCCCAAGAGUCUAUGCAUAGAGUUCACAUUCAUAUUUCAUAAAAUCACUCAAUGGGGGCUAUCCAUACCCGGGAAUUUAUACGUGCCCGGUCACCCUUACGACGUAGGGUCAACUGAGUAUCGAGAUUCAACCUGGAACACGUGAUGGCGAGCCACGGCUCUUACCCAGGGAACUCGUAUCUCAGAUAGAAUUAUUCAUAAGCCAUUUCAUAGUCAUAAUCAUUAUUUAAUCAUUCAUCAAGCCAUGGCAUAUUAACUCCUUUUAUUAACAAUCUCCCUUUCACAUUUUUCAUCGACAUUCCCUUAUAAUUCAUCUUGAUUACCCUUUCCGGGUCCUGACCAAAAUUUUUAUCAAACUCUUCUCAUCCUUCUUAAUAUCGAAUAAUCUUAAAAUCAACCCAACUCUAACAUUAAAUCAAUCACAUCACACAAGGAUUGAACUUUAACUUCUCGAACUCAUGACUAUCACUAAGACAUCCUCGACACUCUAUUUUCUUUUCUGUUUCUAAUAUAGCAAAUGAACUCGGAAUUGCACAAACUUUAUGUCCAGGCGUUCAUAUUGAAAUAAGCUUUCUAACAAACUAAAUAUCAUAAUUUUCUGAUUUUUCUAGCCUCAAGAAUAAAGGAAAAACCGUGACUGCUCUGCAGUGCAUAAAACCAGAAAAACAGCAGCAGCAUGUGAUAUUCAAAAUUCAAUAUAAAAUCCAAGUUAAAUCCAAUGACUUUGAAAAUUAAUGUAGUUAAAAUUUACUCAUCCAGGUUUCUUUUUCAAUUGGUUCUGAGUCAAUACCAUUUUUAAUGAAAAAGUUACAUUACCUGGAAGUUAAGUAAAAAUGAGACAAAAUCUGUUUUAAAAACCAACAAGCUUAGUACCUUUCAAUUGGAAUAACUUUUAUUACAAAACUCCAAUUAAGCUAAAUUUUGAUUUGAGAACCCCUAGCUCAUCUAAAAACAAGUGUGUCUUAGUUGCAACCCAAUUUCUAUUUAAUUCUAAGAGUUACAAGCAUUGGAAGUUGAUGCAUAGCUUGCUGAAAUCUGUUUCUUUUUAGUUUUGACCACCAAUAUUCAAAAAUUCACAGCUCCCAAUCCUCAACUCUUAAAAUUCUGAAAUUUUAGAGAACUAAAGCAAGUUAAUCAAAUUUUAUAACAAAAUUGGUUUCGCUCCAAAAAUCAACUCGUAAAAGUCGCAGCAAGACAAACAAGUUGCUGCCUGUUUGAUCUUUUCUGCUGCUGGACAGAUUUAACAACCUAACUUUAAAAAUUUGCCAUAAAUUGUAUAUUUAACAAAAAGGUCCCAAAAUUUCCAGUUUAGUUCCUUAUAUUCCCAAGUUUAGCCCAAACUUGGUCUCAUGCAAUUCCAAUCAUUACAUAAUUAGUUACAGCAUAUACAAUACCACCAUAACACAACUCUACAUCCUUAUUAACAAACACCAAUUCUAAUCCAUCAUAAAUAAAUAUAAGAGCACACCAUUAAUAGCUUUCACACCUCAUAAUUCUAAUAUAUAAAUUCACUAACAAAUCUAUUCUAACAACAUUACAAGGCUAAUCAUUAAAUACAACAAACAAUCCAACUUAUUCUAUGGUUCCUCUAACCUAAGUUUUCACAACACCGUAAAUAUUAAACGUGCGAAACUUAAACCAUACCUUGGCCGAUCACUUAAUUCACCCAAGGCAGCUUCUCAACAUAAAAUCACAGCCCCUCCAAGCUCAAUCAAACAGCCCCAAAGCAAGCCUUGUCACCAACAAAGCUCCAAGUAAUCCAAAUUCAAGUUCAAUGCAUAAACACCCUCUUAAACUACACCUAAUACACAUAUAUAUGUUCCAAUUCAGUUCUCCAUUACCAAAAAUAAGAUUGAGCUAGGGUUAGGGUGUUCUUACCAUACCCAUAUGCUCAAUAGCUUGAGCCCACAAGUUCCGGAAUCUAACUUGAACCUAGAACACAAAAAUUGGACAAGAUUCACUAUAGGUUUUCAAGUUUACCAAAGAAAGAGGGAUAGAGAUUCUGAACUCAAUAGAAGGCUUACCAGAGAAAUUGUUUGGAUAGAAAGGUAGAGCUCGACGCGCUGAGCGCGUGGCCGCGAACGGUGCGGCAAUCGGAGCCCGGAUGAGAAAGUUAUGGUAGUUGGAAGGAAUGGUGAGGGUUAGGUUUCUUCUCUUCUCCCCCUUGCUGUGUUUUUC